rnacentral:rRNA from 1 species
GACGAACGCUGGCAGCGUGCUUAACACAUGCAAGUCGAACGAUGAAGCCGGAGCUUGCUCCGGUGGAUUAGUGGCGAACGGGUGAGUAACACGUGAGCAAUCUGCCCUUGACUCUGGGAUAACUGCGGGAAACUGUAGCUAAUACCGGAUACGACACCUUGGGGCAUCCCAGGGUGUGGAAAGAAUUUCGGUCAAGGAUGAGCUCGCGGCCUAUUAGCUAGUUGGCGAGGUAAUGGCUCACCAAGGCGACGACGGGUAGCCGGCCUGAGAGGGUGACCGGCCACAAUGGAACUGGGACACGGUCCAGACUCCUACGGGAGGCAGCAGUGGGGAAUAUUGCACAAUGGGCGAAAGCCUGAUGCAGCAACGCCGCGUGAGGGAUGAAGGCCUUCGGGUUGUAAACCUCUUUUAGCAGGAAAGAAGCGAAAGUGACGGUACCUGCAGAAAAAGCACCGGCUAACUACGUGCCAGCCGCCGCCGUAA